CUGGAUUCUGAAUUCGAAUGGAUUGUUCACGGUUAAAUCCUGUUACACGUAUUUAUUAGACAUGCGGCAGGUAGAGCUUCAAGAUGCUCAUGUGCUCGAGGCCAUUCAGCGCCUCUGAAAGUCGGAUGUUCCUUCGAAAGUAAAUGUUUUCGGUUGGAGGCUAUUAUUAAAGAGAUUACCAACUAGAGCAGCUCUUCAUCACCGUGGUAUUUUGACUAAUCAUCAUGAAUUAUCAUUCGUCUUUUGUUUUCAACAAGCUGAGGACGAAAAACAUCUUUUCUUUUCAUGUCCUUUUAGUAAGGGAGUAUGGAACAAAGUUUUAU
rnacentral:lncRNA from 1 species